rnacentral:SRP_RNA from 1 species
GCUGGGCGUGGUGGUGGGCGCCUGUAGUCCCAGCUACUCAGGAGGCUGAGGCAGGAGAAUGGCGUGAACCUGGGAGGCGGAGCUUGCAGUGAGCGGAGAUCGUGCCACUGCACUCCAAAAAAAAAAAAAACAAAACCCAAAAUAAAUAAAAAGGAGGGAUGUUCAGAACAAAUUGGAAAGUCCAACCAUGUCAUGAACAGUCAGUGUAAGUCACAAAAAACCCAAAAACUUUUUUUUUUUUGAGACAGAGUCUCGCUCUAUCACCCAGGCUGGAGUGCAGUGGCGCAAUCUUGGCUCACUGCAAGCUCUGCCUCCCGGGUUCACGCCAUUCUCCUGCCUCAG